GGAGAGGUGGCCGAGUGGACGAAGGCGCCUGAUUGGAGAUCAGGUAUACGGUCAUACCGUAUCGUGGGUUCGAAUCCCACCCUCUCCG
rnacentral:tRNA from 2 species